rnacentral:rRNA from 1 species
UACGGAGGGUGCAAGCGUUGUCCGGAAUUAUUGGGCGUAAAGAGCUCGUAGGCGGUCUGUCGCGUCUGCUGUGAAAUCUCAGGGCUUAACCCUGAGCUUGCAGUGGGUACGGGCAGACUAGAGUGCGGUAGGGGAGACUGGAAUUCCUGGUGUAGCGGUGAAAUGCGCAGAUAUCAGGAGGAACACCGGUGGCGAAGGCGGGUCUCUGGGCCGUAACUGACGCUGAGGAGCGAAAGCAUGGGGAGCGAACAGG